rnacentral:misc_RNA from 1 species
AUCGCAUCCAUGUCACAAGCCAAGCACAACCUCGCAUUCUUGUUCCCAUGACCAUCAGCAGUACCCACAUUCCUCUUCCCACCAGCGUUACUAUUGGAAACGCCAUUCUUCUUCUUACAAUAGUACCUGUUAUGCCGAUCGCUCAAGAAAUAAUUCCUCAACGGCGGCGUAUGAAGCAAUGCCUGAAGCACCGAGUUCAU